rnacentral:lncRNA from 1 species
GCCGUGUGUGAGUUGGUACUUGAGCCAUCCAAUGGUUUAAAUGUUUUUAAGUGUGAAGAGGAGCCUUGAAGUGUAAUAAACUUACACCCCAAGGCCACCCCUUGGCAAGGGUAGAAUGGUCAUUGUUCUCUCAUUUUGUGGUGUAAUAUAAAUAGGUAGUAUUAGGGAUAUUUGGAGUAGUUCAUUCAUGAUAUUUUGAGACAACAAAUACUUAUAAUAUUUUUUGAACUUCUCUCUUCCAUUGGAGAAGUUCAAAUCCGAAUCUCACAAUUAGAGUGAUAUUUGUGUUGUAUCUUGGCUAGAAACUAGGAUCUUGAGGUCAUAGAGUUCCUCUUGGUCCAAGUAAGAACUUGGUGUUAACAUCUUUUAAUCUUAGGGUCCUUUUCAGUUAUUAUGGUUCUUAGAUUCUUAGAUGUUGUAUGCCAAGUUAUUUAUCCUUCUUUUGUUAUCUUGAGAUGCUGUUUGUAUCUUGAAGUAGUGAAGCCGUGUGGGGCCAAUUUCGAUUCACUGCACUUGUUGCAAUCUUGUACUCUUAAAAAUCUGGUUUUUGUUGAAAUCUUGAAGUCUAGUGAAGCCGUGUGUGGACUAUUUCGAUUCACUAGCAUUGUUGUUGACAUCUUGUUGUUCUUGUUGUGGUUUGCUUUUUGUGUUUGAACUUGAUCCUUGUAUCAUUUGGUAUCAGAGCUCAAGGCUUGGUUUUGUUCUCACAAAACCAAACCAAUCUUGGGAAGAUUUUACCAAAGGUAGAAACAUUGUGUUGUGAUGAAUCUUGGCUGAAACUUGAAGAAAUGUUGUGUUGACUUGGCCAAGAGUUUUGUGACUAGAUCUAGUAGUCUUUUACUUGUUUAGUAUGUUUCUAGUAUUGGUUUCUUUCUCACCAACACUAAAAGUGUCUAGAUCUAAAGUUGAGCUUAUAAUAUUGACUAUUGUUGCGGUGACUUGAAGUGGGCCGUAGGUUGUACCUUGUUGUAGACGAUUGGUGGUGUUGUGCUCUUGAAGAAGUUGUUAUUGUGUUCUUGAAGGUUGUUGUGGUGUUCAUCUUGUUCUUCAUCUAUUCUUACAACUUAAGACAACAAAAAGUGCAAAAUAGAUCCAAAAAAGUUGUAAGACAAAAGUUGUAAAGUUGUUUGUGAGAAGACUUGCACACAUCACUUCCUAGACUUGACAACCCCUUUUCCUUAAAUCAAGGGACCUUGUCUUGUGGGACUAGUAAAGUCAAAUCUCACCUUUUUGAGUUUGAAAAGUUGAAAAAAAAGGUUACAAGACUUUACCUUCCCUCCAAUAUCAAGUCAUCCAUUACAAAAAAAUUAUGUAAACAUUAAGACUUCAAGUUGAUGAACAAAUUGUGUGGGCCGUGACCAGUUGUAAGCUGCCACAUCACCCUAAAACGCUGUUCAGUCAAGAUAAAGCUCAAAUUUGGAUUUUCUUAGUUUCUAAUUGUUGAUUCUUGGUUUCCCUUGGUUGUUCCGAGAACUAACUAACAAAUUAGUACAUUCCUACUAGCUUGCUACUUAGUCCUUUGAAGCCUUGGGUUCGUGUCAUCGUUUGUUUGUGUGCUUUUGUUGUUUGAACACGUUGAAAUUUCUUGAUUCUAGUCCGACGAGAAUUCUUUGAGUCUUCAAACAAGAAUCUCUGGAUGAGAGCCUACUCAUACUUUAAGGAUUCACGGGUUACUAGCCAAUCUACAACACUUGUGGAACUAAAGUGUGAGGUGAUCUAAAGAGUGUGAGUGAGGAGAGGGCUGCACUAACUUGUUUGUUGAUUUUGUAGGUGAUACCUUGACAAUGGAGGGAAUCACGUCUCAAACCGUGGAUUCCAAUGCCAUUGAGACUAUGAGGGUCACUUUUGAGGCUAUGACCCGAACACUUGAAAGGUUGAAUACGGAAGUUGGAGAUGUGAGAGGGGAUUUGACCACAAUAAAAGAGAGAUGUGUUGACUAUUAGUGGGAGAUUAGAACAAGUGGAGAGUGAAAGGAACUCUCGCCCUUCUGCUUCUCAGCAUGUUUCUUCAAAUAGACAUGAUAGAACUUCCUUCGCCAUCGUUACUCCCGAAACAUGGCACCAAAUGCUAAAUCCACCACUUGCUCCACUAAAUGCCGCAAGCCAAACUACUCAUAUCCCUCCAACCCGUGACUCCAAUAGGCCAACACAUUCCCAAACUCCUCAAGUCCCACAAGAGGGACUUGGACGUCAAAUACCUCCACUAAAUCCGAACCCUCCCUUCCAGGCUCCACUAAACCAAAGACCACCACCUCCACAAAAUCUAAUUCAUCCAAAUCAAGUCCUAAAUGUCCAAACCGUCCCGUUCACUUUGAGGAAUAUGGUAGAGAGGAGUAUGAAGGGUAUGGAGCCUUUGAUGAUGCUUACAUGAGGGAGGGGGAGAUAAGAAGGGGUCGUGUGGAUCCAAGAAGAUACUGAGGGUAUGGAGAAAGGGGAAACCGACACCAAGAGAGAGACGUAGGCAUCAACACCAUCAAGUUGAGCCUACCAAUCUUUAAAGGUGAAAGUGACCCCGAGGCCUACUUAGCUUGGGAAUUGGCUGGUGACAGUUUUCCAAGUUGAUAUCUCGGAGGAAAAGAAAAGUUGUUCUGCCAUAGCUCAUUUUGAGGGUUAUGCUAACACUUGGUGGGAAUACGUCAAGCGGUUUGGUAAUGAAUUAGUUGAUGGGCAACCACCACCUUGGUUUCGGUUAAGAUACUUAAUGAGACAACGUUACCUUCCCGAGAGUUAUCGCCAUGAGUUGCUUGCUAGGUUGUACAACUUGCGUCAAGGUAACAAAAGUGUGAUGGCAUAUUAUGAUGAGUUUCAACAACUUAUGUUGAAGCUUGAUCAUCGUGGGGAACAAAUUAGUCAUGGCAUCAUCCGGUUCAAGUGUCGGUUGAACAAAGAGAUCUCCAUUCAUUUGACACUUCACAAGUUUGAUACCAUUGAAGGUAUUUUCCAAGCGGCUUGAGAUUGAAAGGGAACUUAAAGAGAGAUCGUCGUUCAAGGCAAGAGACAAUCAACCUCGGGUUGGCCUAGGAACAAGGAGAUGGGUCAAUCCUCUUUGGGUUGGCCUAAAAACAAGGACCUACCCGCCACUACAAGGCUGCCCGAGCCCAAAACAGUCCACAAAAUUCCUCCAAGGCAAGAAGUUCACGAGUAUCCUAAUCCUAAAGGGUUCCAAUGUUUCAAAUGCCAAGGUUGGGGAUAUAAAGCCAAUGAAUGUCCCAACCGACGCAAUGUGAUCCUACGGGAAGGGAGAUUAUAUUACCUUGGUGAGGAGGUGGGUCUUGAAAAGAAGGAGAAUGAGGCCGAGCCUUAAGAUGGAGAGGAACCCGAGAAUGGACCACAUGAUGAUGGUGAAGAUGUUUAUCCGCAAUAAGGGGAGUGUGUGGUUCCAAACUUUGUAGUUAGGCGCGUCAUGAUUAGUAAGGCAAUAGAUGACCCUAGUCAAAGGGAAAAUCUAUUCCAUGCUAAAUGUCUUGUAAAGGGGAGUGUGUGCACUUUGGUGAUAGAUAGUGGUAGUUGUGCAAAUGUUGUUAGUGUUACUAUGGUAAACUUCUUGAAAUUGUCAACUACACCGCACACUAGUCUUUACAAGUUGCAAUGGUUGAAUGAAUGUGGUGAAUUGAAGGUCACAAGGCAAUGUGUGAUACGGUUUAAGGUGGAAAACUACCACGAUGAAGUGCUUUGUGACGUGAUACCAAUGCAAGCGUGUCACUUGUUGUUAGGUAGACCUUGGCAAUAUGAUAGGUCUACCAAACAUGAUGGGUGGACCAAUUGAUAUACUGAUGCAAGUGAAUGAGUGGCAUCAAAAGAUGAGAGAAUUGAAGAAAAAGGGGAAGAAAUUCAAAAAUGAAGAAAAAAGGGGGGAAUCCGUAGGUGGGGCAGUAGGGGUGGAUUAGUAAGGCAAUAGAUGACCCUAGUCAAAGGGAAAAUCUAUUCCAUGCUAAAUGUCUUGUAAAGGGGAGUGUGUGCACUUUGGUGAUAGAUAGUGGUAGUUGUGCAAAUGUUGUUAGUGUUACUAUGGUAAACUUCUUGAAAUUGUCAACUACACCGCACACUAGUCUUUACAAGUUGCAAUGGUUGAAUGAAUGUGGUGAAUUGAAGGUCACAAGGCAAUGUGUGAUACGGUUUAAGGUGGAAAACUACCACGAUGAAGUGCUUUGUGACAUGAUACCAAUGCAAGCGUGUCACUUGUUGUUAGGUAGACCUUGGCAAUAUGAUAGGUCUACCAAACAUGAUGGGUGGACCAAUUGAUAUACUGAUGCAAGUGAAUGAGUGGCAUCAAAAGAUGAGAGAAUUGAAGAAAAAGGGGAAGAAAUUCAAAAAUGAAGAAAAAAGGGGGGAAUCCGUAGGUGGGGCAGUAGGGGUGUCCUGGGCUGCCUCAACAUCAAAUGGAAAAGAAAACAUGGUGAUGUUGGUUAGAAAGAAAGAGCUCUUCGUGGAUCAUGAUGAGGACACACCCAUGCUUCUUUUGGCACAUUGUUUUAACACUAACCCCACGAAUUCUCCUGUUUCUCCUUUGAUUUCUUAUGUGUUGUAGGAUUAUGAAGAUGUUUUUCCCAAAGAACUUCCACAAGGGCUGGCCCCGCUUCGGGGAAUUGAACACCAAAUAGAUUUUGUGCCGGGAUCCUUAUUGCCCAACAAACCGGCUUAUAGAGCAACCCGACGGAUACUAAGGAAUUGCAAUGCCAAGUUGAGGAACUUCUCAACAAAGGUUACAUCAAGGAAAGCACGAGUCUAUGCGCGGUUCCGGUGCUACUAGUGCCUAAGAAAGACGGAACGUGGCGUAUGUGUGGGGACUGUCGAGCCAUCGACAAGAUUACGAUAAAAUAUCGUUACCCUAUUCCUAGGUUAGAUGAUAUGCUUGAUGAAUUGAAUGGGUCGUGUCUAUUUUCCAAGAUUGAUUUCAGGAGUGGCUAUCACCAAAUAAGAAUGCAACCCGGUGAUGAAUGGGAAACCGACUUCAAGACCAAGUUUGGUCUUUAUGAAUGGGUGGUUAUGCCAUUCGACUUAACAAACGCUCCAAGCACUUUUAUGAGGCUAAUGAAUCAUGUGAUGAAGCCAUUUAUUGGAAAGUUUGUUGUCUACUUUGAUGAUGUUUUGGUUUAUAGCAAGUCCUUAGAUGAACAUGUGAUGCAUUUACAAUGUGUGUUUGAUGUCCUUAGAAAGGAAAGAUUGUAUGCAAAUCUGGAAAAAAGCUCUUUUGGUGUUAAUGAAGUGGUUUUCUUGGGGUUUGUUGUUAGCUCAAGAUGGGUCGAAGUGGACAAAUCCAAGAUAAACGCUAUAAAAAAUUGGCCAAUCCCACAAACCGUUGGAGAAGUAAGAAGCUUCCACGGGUUGGCUAGUUUUUAUAGAAGGUUUGUCAAAGGAUUUAGCACCAUAGCCGCCCCCUUAACCGAGGUCAUUCGGAAUGAUCAACCCUUCAAGUGGGGUGAAGAUCAAGCUAAGGCUUUUGAAGCUUUGAAAGCUAUGCUCAUUUUCACGCCUUUGUUACAAUUGCCCAACUUUGAUAAGAUGUUCGAAGUUGAAUGCGAUGCUAACAAAGUAGACAUAGGGGCUGUUUUGAUGCAAGAUUUAAAACCCAUUGCUUACUUUAGCGAAAAGCUCAAAGGAGCAACUCUAAACUACUCCACAUAUGAUUUAGAGUUGUAUGCCUUAAUUAGAGCCUUGGCCACUUGGCAACACUAUUUAUGGCCUAAGGAGUUCGUGAUCCGAACGGACCAUGAAUCCUUAAAGCACCUUCGGGCUCAAGAUAAGCUUAACAAACGACAUGCCAAAUGGAUUGAGUUUCUUGAAAUCUUCCCUUAUGUUAUCCAAUACAAGAAGGGUAAGGACAUGUAGUAGCCGAUGCUUUGUCUAGAAAACAUAUUCUUGUGUCUACUUUGGCGUCAAAAUUGAUGGGUUUUGAGAGCUUAAAAGGAUUAUAUCCCGAGGACCCUCACUUUGCUCUUAUCUUUAGGGAAUGCGAAGAAUUGGGUAGGGACAAGUGGGAUUCGGCUAGGGGUUCAAAUCCCUAUGCCAAAUUUGAUGGUUACCAAAUUUGAUGGUUACUUGUUUAAAGGUAGACGAUUGUGUGUACCCUCUAGCUCUUGGAGAGAAUUGUUUGUGAGGGAAGCAUACGAUGGCGGUCUAAUGGGUCACUUCGGGGUCGAAAAAACCCUUGGGAUCUUGGAGGAGCAAUUCUAUUAGCCAAGAAUGCACAAGAAUGUGGCUAGGAUUUGCGGCCAAUGUGUAGAUUGCAAAGGAGCCAAAUCUCGGCUCCUACCUCACGGGUUGUACACCCCACUGCCCACCCCUUCCUGUCCUUGGCUUGAUAUAUCAAUGGACUUCGUGUUAGGUUUGCCGAUGACUAGGUGGGGUCGGGAUAGUGUCUUUGUUGUUGUGGAUCGAUUUUCUAAGAUGGCGCACUUUAUCCCAUGUUCUAAAUGUGAUGAUGCACCUAAUGUGGCCUCUUUAUUUGUUGAGAAUGUGGUUAAGUUACAUGGUGUUCCAAGGACCAUUGUAAGUGACCGGGACUCCAAAUUCCUAAGUCACUUUUGAAAGUCCAUGUGGGGUAGGCUUGGUACCAAGUUGUUCUCCAUGCCUUGCCACCCACAAAUCGAUGGCCAAACGGUAUUAGUAAAUAGGACUUUGGGUGCUAUGCUACGUUCCAUGGUUAAGGGAAAAAUGACUUCUUGGGAGGAAGACUUACCAUUGAUUGAGUUUGCUUAUAACCGUGUCAUAUACUUAAGUACGGGAAUGACUCCCUUUGAGUGUGUAUACGGCUUCAACUCCCUUACCCCUUUGGAUUUAACACCUUUGCCAAGUGAUCUCAUGAUUAGCCUAGAUGGAACCAAACGGGCAGAUUCUAUGAAGAAGUUAUAUUAGAAGGUGCGGUUUCGACUUGAGAAGAAAAACCAAGAAAUUGCAAGGAGGGCCAACAAGGGGAGAAAGACACUCAUUCUUGAACCGGGAGAUUGGGUGUGGGUGCAUCUUUUGAAGGAUCGGUUUCCAUCUCAAAGGAAGUCCAAAUUGAUGCCAAGGGGUGAUGGUCCAUUCCAAGUACUUGAGAAAAAUCAAUGACAACGCCUACAAGAUUGACCUUCCACCAGAAUACCAAGUGCACAACACUUUCUACAUAUGUGAUCUUUCUCUAGUGGAUGCGGUUGAGGAUGACCAAAUGCCGAAUUUCAGGUCAAAUUCCUCUCAAGAUGGAGAGGAUGAUACGGGUGUACCAAGCUGCCCAACAAGUUCACGACCAUUCACACGUAGCCAAGCUCGGGAGUUACAAAAACUCCAAGCUAUGCUCAUGCAAAUGGCCGUGUGUGAGUUGGUACUUGAGCCAUCCAAUGGUUUAAAUGUUUUUAAGUGUGAAGAGGAGCCUUGAAGUGUAAUAAACUUAUACUCCAAGGACACCCCUUGGCAAUAGUAGGAUGGUCAUUGUAUAUUUUGAGACAACAAAUACUUAUAAUAUUUUUUGAACUUCUCUCUUCCAUUGGAGAAGUUCAAAUCCGAAUCUCACAAUUAGAGUGAUACUUGUGUUGUAUCUUGGCUAGAAACUAGGAUCUUGAGGUCAUAGAGUUCCUCUUGGUCCAAGUAAGAACUUGGUGUUAACAUCUUUUAAUCUUAGGGUCCUUUUCAGUUAUUAUGGUUCUUAGAUUCUUAGAUGUUGUAUGCCAAGUUAUUUAUCCUUCUUUUGUUAUCUUGAGAUGUUGUUUGUAUCUUGAAGUAGUGAAGCCAUGUGGGGCC